rnacentral:rRNA from 1 species
AAUUGCUCCUACCUUCCUGGAAUUUUUAUGUGUCGCUAAACCAUCUUAUCCAUCUCUCCUCCCGUCUCAUUGGCAUCCUGCGGCGGCGGCUCUCGCACGGGUGGGGGACGAUGUUGGCCUCCAAGAGAAGCUCUCUCAGCAGCGGCCGCUCGCAUGAGGGCAUGGCAUCGGACCAGCUUCCAUGAGGAGAAGCUCACUCGACGCGAUCUCCAUGAAGCAGGCAGCGGCGUCGGCGCACUGUUCUAGUUUGGCGAGAAAAAUGACUCCGACCAUCUGAUGAUGCAAGCGUGGCGGCAUAUGGAAGAUAGCCGGCGGCCGGCGGUGGUGCAACCACAUGAUUCGUGAGUUCAUCCAGGUUUCGAAAUUGAGUUUCUUUCCUUCUUUGCAGAUCUAGAUGGCAGUGGAUAAGAAUUAUGUGCUCUGCUCUACUAUGAAGCAAAUUAUUGGGAAAAGAAGAUGAAGUCAAAUUUACACGUCUCAGGGAUUUCAAAGCUACACCUCAACAACUCUCAUCUCAAGUUUUAUUUUAUUUUAGUGAAGCCACCCCAAGAAAGCAAUCACGGGCAACGGAAAGUAUUUGGGUCUGUAUUUUAUUAACCCAAACGUGUAUAGAUUCCCUUGCUUGUAUGUAAAGAGGUGUGAUGACCACCCGCAGAAAAAAAGAGGUGUGAUGACAAUCGAAUACUACUGACCUGAUGGUUUUUAUAUACUACUUGUUUCAAGCAAUCUAUAAAAUAUACUCCUUCAUUGUGAGCAUACUCGUUCUCAACGAAGAAACAAGUUGUACUUCUGUGUGCCUUCAUGCAAAAAUGAGGUAUACACUUCCUACAAGAUAAUGUAAUCUAUGCAUGAUAAAAAA